AGCGUGGAGACAGGUGGUGCAUGGCUGUCGUCAGCUCGUGUCGUGAGAUGUUGGGUUAAGUCCCGCAACGAGCGCAACCCUCACCCCUUGUUGCCAUCAGGUUAUGCUGGGCACUCUAGGGGAACUGCCCCGGUCAACGGGGAGGAAGGCGGGGAUGACGUCAAGUCAUCAUGCCCCUUACGUCCUGGGCUACACACGUGCUACAAUGGCCGGUACAAAGGGAUGCAAGACUGCGAGGUGGAGCUAAACCCAAAAAGCCGGUCUAAGUUCAGAUUGGAGUCUGCAACUCGACUCCAUGAAGGAGGAAUCGCUAGUAAUCGCGCAUCAGCACGGCGCGGUGAAUACGUUCCCGGGCCUUGUACACACCGCCCGUCACACCACGAAAGCCAGCUGUACUCGAAGUCGCUGAG
rnacentral:rRNA from 1 species